GGCGCUUUCGCGGCGAUACACUGUUAACCCCGUCAGGUCCGGAAGGAAGCAGCGGUCGCAGUGGACUCGGGUGCCGAAUGUUGGCU
rnacentral:SRP_RNA from 1 species